rnacentral:rRNA from 1 species
AAAACUUUCAGCAACGGAUCUCUUGGUUCUGGCAUCGAUGAAGAACGCAGCGAAAUGCGAUAAGUAAUGUGAAUUGCAGAAUUCAGUGAAUCAUCGAAUCUUUGAACGCACAUUGCGCUCGCCAGUAUUCUGGCGAGCAUGCCUGUCCGAGCGUCAUUUCAACCCUCAGGCCCCGUUCGCGGGAUCUGGUGUUGGGGAUCGGCCGUCCUUCGCGGCGGCCGGCCCUGAAAUGGAGUGGCGGUCUCGUCGCGACCUCCUCUGUGUAGUAGUUAUACCUCGCAGCUGGAUAGCGGCGCGGCCACGCCGUAAAACCCCCUACUUCUCAAGGUUGACCUCGGAUCAGGUAGGAAUACCCGCUGAACUUAAGCAUAUCAAUAAGCGGAGGAAAAGAAACCAACAGGGAUUGCCCUAGUAACGGCGAGUGAAGCGGCAACAGCUCAAAUUUGAAAUCUGGCCCUAGGCCCGAGUUGUAAUUUGUAGAGGAUGCUUCUGGCGACGUGCCUUCCGAGUUCCCUGGAACGGGACGCCAUAGAGGGUGAGAGCCCCGUCCGGUCGUGCGCCUAGCCUCUGUGAAGCUCCUUCGACGAGUCGAGUAGUUUGGGAAUGCUGCUCUAAAUGGGAGGUAUACGUCUUCUAAAGCUAAAUACCGGCCAGAGACCGAUAGCGCACAAGUAGAGUGAUCGAAAGAUGAAAAGCACUUUGAAAAGAGGGUUAAAUAGUACGUGAAAUUGCUGAAAGGGAAGCGCUUAUGACCAGACUUGGGCCGGUUAAUCAUCCAGCGUUCUCGCUGGUGCACUUUGCCGGUCCAGGCCAGCAUCAGUUUGCCUUGGGGGAUAAAGGCUUCGGGAAUGUAGCUCCCUCGGGAGUGUUAUAGCCCGUUGUGUAAUACCCUGGGGCAGACUGAGGUACGCGUUCUGCAAGGAUGCUGGCGUAAUGGUCAUCAGUGACCCGUCUUGAAACACGGACC